ACCCAUCCAUGAUUGUUAUAGAAGUCUUCAUGAGAACGAGAUCAAAUAGAAUAUGUUUGUUUCUAUUCCGCGUGAGCCACUUAUUUCUCUGAAACAAGAGAUCAAAGUUAUUUUCCUCUUUUUUCCCAAUAAGUCGACAGCCUUGCA